rnacentral:rRNA from 1 species
CCCACUUACGGUGAGAGUAUGCGCGGAUAGGCGUAGGGAGCGGUCGUUGUCUGCACUUAGUGAGCGUACAGAGCUCGUAUGCUGGUUGUCUCGACGACGAUGAAAACCGGAAGCGAAACUGCUGGCAUGCGGGCGAUACGGGGAAGCGAGAGAUCGGUAGGAGAGAGUGGAAUUCCUGGUGUAGCGGUGAGAUGCGCAGAUAUCAGGAGGAAAGCCGGUGGCGAAGGCGGGUCUCUGGGCCGAUACUGACGCGGAGGAGCGAAAGCGUGGGGAGCGAACAGGAUUAGAUACCCUGGUAGUC